rnacentral:rRNA from 1 species
UCGGGAAUUUUGGGCAAUGGGCGAAAGCCUGACCCAGCAACGCCGCGUGAGGGAUGAAGUAUUUCGGUAUGUAAACCUCGAAAGGAUGGGAAGAAUAAAUGACGGUACCAUUUAUAAGCUCCGGCUAACUACGUGCCAGCAGCCGCGGUAAUACGUAGGGAGCAAGCGUUGUUCGGAUUUACUGGGCGUAAAGGGCGCGUAGGCGGCGCGGUAAGUCACUUGUGAAAUCUCUGAGCUUAACUCAGAACGGCCAAGUGAUACUGCUGUGCUAGAGUGCGGAAGAGGCAACCGGAAUUCUUGGUGUAGCGGUGAAAUGCGUAGAUAUCAAGAGGAACACCUGAGGCGAAGGCGGGUUGCUGGGCCGACACUGACGCUGAUGCGCGAAAGCCAGGGGAGCAAACG